UAAUUGUUAGAGCUCUGAUAACCCUUAUUUUUUUCUCUAGCUGUGCGUUUUGAACCUUGCCUACUCCAUUGGAACUGUGGUGAGUAUGUCUUUCUUCAAAUAUUGAAUUUAUAGUUGUUGAUGUCAUUGUGUGUUUUUCCAGAUAACUGUUCAUCAUUUACAUUUUGAAUUUAAUCGUUAAAGUCCCUCUUUCUAACUGUAUUUCAGAUCAAUAAUCUGUUCCUUUUCUUAUUUAUCACAUAUAAUCAUUAUUCAUGAUGUUUUGAACUCAUAGGAAGGUGCUGAUUAAUUUGAGAUCAAAGUUAUUAGGCCCUUUCUUACUAAGAAUUAAAUCAGAUUUUAUUUCAAGUUAAUCAUUUUCCCAAGACUUGCUAAUAAGUAAAAAGGAUAUAUCUAAGAUUGUGAGUUUUAGUAACGUUUCCCCUGCAAAAAAUCAAACUAUCAUCAGCAUACAAGAGAUGUGUGAUUCCUGGAAAAUGAUAAAAACAAAUAAGGAGAGAUGGUCUUACUAUGUGAACCCUCUUUUAGGUUGAAACUUUUGGGAAGGCUUCCAUUAAUAAGAAUUGAGAAGGAAACUGUAGACCCACAUCGCAUAAUAGAAUUGAUGAUAUUGCUAGGAAACCCACAUAAUUGAGAGUUUUAUGGAGAAUAUUCCAUUCAAUCGUAGUGUAAGCCUUGACCAUGUCCGUUUUAAUCCUACAAGACCUUUUUCUUAUUGUUAUUGUUCUUCAUAUAGAUAAAACUCUCAUAAGCAACUGAAGCAUUGUGUAUAUAAAGAUACCUGACACAAAAGCACUUUGAUUAUAGCUAAUAAUAUCAAGAAGAAUGGUCUUAAUUCUAUUAGCUAUAGUCUUUGUGACAAUUUUUGAUAUAACAUUACACAGAUUACAGAGAAAUAGGCUUAUAGGCUUUUUUAUUAUAGGAAUGAGAUAGAUAAAUGUUUUGUUCAAGCAUGUGGAAUCAUCGUUAUUGUUAAGGAUAUUAAGAGCGAGAUUAGUGAUAUCGUUACAACUGAUCUCCCAAAAGAUAUGAUAAAAAGGCUUCAUUCUGGGUAAACUCAGCUUGAAAGAUAGUCAUCGUGAUUGUAUUCUUAACGACAUCCGCUGUAGCUUCCUCAUUAUGAAUAGGCUGCGUUGCAUCAAUGAUCACUUUGAUUUUCACAAUGAUAUUCUUACCAGAGUAUUCGUACAGCUCUGAUUCUCCAACCUUACCAAGAAACUCACCAACCUUUAUCCCCAUUCAUUUAUUGCUACAGUGAAGGGGGAGGCCCCAAAUUUGUAUCCAAAUUGGAACCUGAUUAAAUCCAAUGCUCUUUGGAUAAUGUAAUCA
rnacentral:lncRNA from 1 species